AUUGAACGCUGGCGGCAGGCCUAACACAUGCAAGUCGAACGGUAACAGGAAGCAGCUUGCUGCUUUGCUGACGAGUGGCGGACGGGUGAGUAAUGUCUGGGAAACUGCUUGAUGGAGGGGGAUAACUACUGGAAACGGUAGCUAAUACCGCAUAACGUCGCAAGACCAAAGAGGGGGACCUUCGGGCCUCUUGCCAUCGGAUGUGCCCAGAUGGGAUUAGCUAGUAGGUGGGGUAACGGCUCACCUAGGCGACGAUCCCUAGCUGGUCUGAGAGGAUGACCGGCCACACUGGAACUGAGACACGGUCCAGACUCCUACGGGAGGCAGCAGUGGGGAAUAUUGCACAAUGGGCGCAAGCCUGAUGCAGCCAUGCCGCGUGUAUGAAGAAGGCCUUCGGGUUGUAAAGUACUUUCAGCGGGGAGGAAGGGAGUAAAGUUAAUACCUUUGCUCAUUGACGUUACCCGCAGAAGAAGCACCGGCUAACUCCGUG
rnacentral:rRNA from 1 species